CCACCCUGCAGACUCUGGAGCCUCCCUGCCCAGGAUCUUUGAGUCUGGCCAUCCUGUUUCCACCCAUCUCUUAUGAUGGGAUGAGCUGAAUGUGCAUCCUCCAUAGGGCCAUGUCCAGGUACCAAGGAGAGUCCAAGAUCAGCUCCCCACAACAAAGCCAAGCUCAGAAUUUUAAGUAUCCCUUGCUCUCCUGGCUCCAGUGUUUUUGAAGACAAGACCCCUGCUACUGCCGCUGUCCUCCCCUCCUCUCUGGUUGCAUACUCUUAUUACAUCUGGGCCAUGAGCACCGCUGCUCUGCAGCUCACCGAG